UGGGGAAUUUUCCGCAAUGGGCGAAAGCCCGACGGAGCAAUGCCGCGUGGAGGUGGAAGGCCUACGGGUCGUCAACUUCUUUUCUCGGAGAAGAAACAAUGACGGUAUCUGAGGAAUAAGCAUCGGCUAACUCUGUGCCAA
rnacentral:rRNA from 1 species